rnacentral:snRNA from 1 species
AGGCUCAGACUUCACCCAUAGUU